GACGGAGGGGGCUAGCGUUGUUCGGAAUUACUGGGCGUAAAGGGCGCGUAGGCGGCUUAGUAAGUUGGGAGUGAAAGCCCGGGGCUUAACCUCGGAACUGCUUUCAAAACUGCUAGUCUAGAGUGAAGUAGGGGGUGAUGGAAUUCCUAGUGUAGAGGUGAAAUUCUUAGAUAUUAGGAGGAACACCGGUGGCGAAGGCGGUCACCUGGACUUCAACUGACGCUGAGGCGCGAAAGCGUGGGGAGCGAACAGG
rnacentral:rRNA from 1 species